rnacentral:tRNA from 1 species
AAAGAUGUAGUAUAAUAAAAUACAUUUCACUUACACUGAAAAUAUAUUUAGGAAGUAAAUCGUCUUUA